rnacentral:snoRNA from 1 species
AUUCCAUGAUUGGGACAUUGUAGGAUGUAGUCUUGGAAGCAUCUCAUGCUUCUGGAACGGAUUCAUCAUGUUGUUGCUAAAAACUUGUAAUUUUCCCACGGAGAGC